AACGAACGCUGGCGGCAUGCCUAACACAUGCAAGUCGAACGAGACCUUCGGGUCUAGUGGCGCACGGGUGCGUAACGCGUGGGAACCUGCCUUUAGGUUCGGAAUAACUCAGAGAAAUUUGAGCUAAUACCGGAUGAUGUCUUCGGACCAAAGAUUUAUCGCCUUUAGAUGGGCCCGCGUUGGAUUAGCUAGUUGGUGGGGUAAAGGCCUACCAAGGCGACGAUCCAUAGCUGGUCUGAGAGGAUGAUCAGCCACACUGGGACUGAGACACGGCCCAGACUCCUACGGGAGGCAGCAGUGGGGAAUAUUGGUCAAUGGGCGAAAGCCUGAUCCAGCAAUGCCGCGUGAGUGAUGAAGGCCUUAGGGUUGUAAAGCUCUUUUACCCGAGAUGAUAAUGACAGUAUCGGGAGAAUAAGCUCCGGCUAACUCCGUG
rnacentral:rRNA from 1 species